UGAUGGCUGUUCCUCUUGCGGCUGGAGCUUUGGGUAGUGGGAUUUUAGUCCAUCAUAUGUCUAGGCUGGCUUGUCUUCUCUCAGGACACUCCAGGGAUGGCUUGGGUGUUCGUUAGUAUGUUCUGAUUUUUGCAGAAUCACACAAUU
ensembl:snoRNA